rnacentral:misc_RNA from 1 species
GAUGAAGAACGCAGCGAAAUGUGAUACUUGGUGUGAAUUGCAGAAUCCCGCGAAUCAUCGAGUCUUUGAACGCAAGUUGCGCCCGAAGCCAUUUGGUCGAGGGCACGUCUGCCUGGGUGUCACGCAUCGUUGCCCCCAACCCCAUUGCUUCUCCAAGAGACGAGGGCGGUUUGUGGGGCGGACAUUGGCCUCCCGUGAGCUUUUGAUUGCGGCUGGCCUAAAAGGGAGUCCUCGGCGACGAGCGCCACGACAAUCGGUGGUUGACAAACCCUCGUGUCCCGUCGUGCGUGCCUUGUCGCUCAUCUCGUGCUCUGUGACCCUAUAGCGUCGCGCUUGCGACUCUUCCAUCGCGACCCCAGGUCAGGCGGGACUACCCGCUGAAUUUAAGCAUAUCAAUAAGCGGAGGA